GAAGGCGGGGUAAUUUUUUUAGUGAAAUUCCAACCUAUUUCUAGCAUUAUGGUGGUCGAUUCCCGAGGCUACACCGGUCAAAACUGAUCUAUAUAUGUAAAAAAAUACAUGUCUUGACUGAUUGACUGAUUUAUCAUCACCUAGCCCAAACCACUGGACGGAUCGCUAUUAGAUAGCUAUUACGACAUAGGCAUCCGCCAAGAAAGGAUUUUUGAAAAUUCAACACCUAAGGGGGUAAAAUAGAGGUUUUUUUUUUAGUUUAUAGGCGUAUUUAGUAUGAAUAUCGAAUUGCUUAUUUAUUUAUUUUUUCAUAUUUAAGGGUUACAUU